rnacentral:lncRNA from 1 species
AUCAUGUCAUAAUUCAAGGCAAAAUGAAAAAUGAUCAUUCCCUGAAUUGGACGUUUGCCCUAAUUAUUUGUUUAUAUAUAUUUCAUUCAUGGUAGUACGAUUUAUUUAAUGUUAUUAGUGAAAUAUGAAAGAAAAGCAAGCAGGAAAUGAAAAUGGGGAGAAGGGGUGGGUUUAGAUUGAGGCACAUGAUGGGAAAGGGAAGGAAGCAAGGCAAUCUAAGGGAGGGGAUAUGGAUGAAAGGAAACUGCAAAAGCAAAGCAAAGUACUGCUCCUUUUAACUCUCUUUUACUUUGCGACUCUUAUAGGCAGCAGUUGCCAGCUGCCUCAAAAAGAUGCCAAACAGUACAAUGCGCAUUCAUCCAUCGCCCUUGAGACAUGAACAGCCCCCAUCUCUUCUCUUUCACCUAACCCAAUCCUCGCUUACUCACUUGCAUAUAUAUGCGUCAUGUAAUUAUAUAUAGUUAUACACAAACAAGUCGUAUGUAACGCUUACCGAGAAUUUACGAGGAAAAUCUCAUGAGUUAACAUCAAAGCUGAUAAUCAGAGUAGAAAGGGAAGGAUGGUUAAGCUUCUCUCUCUCAUCUCACUGCUAAUUAGUCAGCCCUUUUUAAAGCUAAAGCAGAAGAAGAAGCAGAAGCAGCAGCAGCCUAGCUAUUUCAAAACCCUACAAUGGGGGGACCUCUCUCAUUCUCUUUCAUCAUUUAUUCAGAUGAAAGGUCCUCAUGCAUGAUGCUCCACCAUUUUUUUUCAUUUUUUCUAAUAUACUAUUUUCUUUUCUUUGCAGCCAAUAAAUUAAAUGUUAAUCAGUGUAGUAGUAGUACUACUCUUUAUUAUUAUUAUUAUUUCUUUAUUACAGUCUGGUAAAUUUGUAUUUAGAGAUGCAACUGUGGAGCUAACAGUGACGAGAGAGGGUGAGGACCACACUCCGCCUAGGGUACCCCUCCCCUCUGCCAUCUUCAUCCCCCCCCCCCAAAACCACAUUCUCACACAAUUUCACAAUGAUCCAGUUGGCGGUUAUCUUAUUUCAUAUUUCUUUUGCUGGCUUUUUGUCCCCUUCCUUCUCCCUCUUUUAUUACCUUGUAGAGAGACAAGACAUGAUAAGUUAUGUAUUGUAUUGUUUCUUUUAAUGUUUCAAUAAUCUGUUUAUAUAUAUAUUACUUAUUUUUAAUAUAUCAUGUUCAUAUAUCAUUGUGUGGCAUCUAGACCAUCAUUUUCUUGUCACUUCUUUUAGUUCAAGAACUCAACAGCACUCGCCCUAGGUAGCUGAGAUAUUUUAUUUUGUAUUUGUAAUAAUUCCACUCAAAAAGAAAAAGCUGGGGUUAACUAGCUAUCUUCAUUUAGUACCCAUUAACAUAGUUUCUAUUGAGUAUAUCAUGUUCGUACAUGAUUGCUCCAUGCUGUUGGGUUGGCUUAUGAUGUAUGGUGAGAUACCCGUCCUUGGAUUUUCAUUAGUCCCUAUUUCCCCCCAUUAAAAUUUUAUCCACAAAACCAGGUAUCAUAUAUUCAUAUAUGUUUGUUAAGCUGCAUAGAAAAGCACCAAAAUCGAUGGGUCUCCGUCAACUAGUGCUAUCCCAUUUCAUUGAGGAUUUGACGAUAUAUAAUUGCAACAACUGUCAUGCCCCAGACUCUAGGGAGGAGUGGGGGGAAAACUAAGGUAAGCUAUAAGAUUACUGUACACAAAAUUUCAUAUAAAGCUAUGCUGCUACAGUUUUAGAGAUUAAUUAUUUUAAUGAAUACUGCGAAGUGUCUCAAACAGUAAGCCCUUGUGCUAGGCCUAAAGGAUGCAGCACAAAUAUUCAAUCACGUUGCUGAAUAAAAGGAACUUC